rnacentral:ncRNA from 1 species
CGAGUCCAAAAUUUCCAUGAAUAACAAACUAUGUUACACCAGAGAGGCGUCCUCAGAGACAAACUGGGCCCAAGUUCUCUGGAAAGGGACGCCUGGGAGGGUGAGAGCUCCGUCCGGCCCAGACCCUGUUUCACCACGAGGCGCCGUCAACGAGUCGGGUUGUUUGGGAAUGCAGCCCAAAUCAGGCGGUAAACUCCGUCCAAGGCUAAAUACAGGCGGUGGACCGAUAGCGAACAAGUACCGCGAGGGAAAGAUGGAAAUGACUUUGAAAAGAGAGUCAAAGAGUGCUUGAAAUUGCCGGGAGGGAAGCGGAUGGGGGCCGGCGAUGCGUCCCGGUUGUAUGCAGAACGGCUUUUGCUGGUCUGCCUAUCGGUUCGGGGCGUGGAAUGUUGUCAGCCACGCCGGCGGCCUAAGCCUGGGGGCCUCAGGUGCCUCCAGUAGCAGUCGCCGGCACGUCCGGUACAAUUUUGAUAGUGGUUCCUCCAACUGUUAGAGCAGCAGUUAGCCAAGCUGAAGGAUAUGGUAAUAAUGCACAGGCAGAGAUUAUCCUGAAGCUCCACAAUACUUCCUGAGUUCUUGACACUCUUGUUUGAUUUAAAUUCAAUAGAUCUAGCUCAUUGCAUUUGCUCAAUAAAGGUCAUCAUGGCUACAGGUGUUAAGAUUCUCAUUCUAAUCUUAUACAUUA